rnacentral:rRNA from 1 species
AUUGAACGCUGGCGGCAUGCCUUACACAUGCAAGUCGAACGGCAGCACGGGUGCUUGCACCUGGUGGCGAGUAGCGAACGGGUGAGUAAUACAUCGGAACAUGUCCUGUAGUGGGGGAUAGCCCGGCGAAAGCCGGAUUAAUACCGCAUACGAUCUACGGAUGAAAGCGGGGGACCUUCGGGCCUCGCGCUAUAGGGUUGGCCGAUGGCUGAUUAGCUAGUUGGUGGGGUAAAGGCCUACCAAGGCGACGAUCAGUAGCUGGUCUGAGAGGACGACCAGCCACACUGGGACUGAGACACGGCCCAGACUCCUACGGGAGGCAGCAGUGGGGAAUUUUGGACAAUGGGCGAAAGCCUGAUCCAGCAAUGCCGCGUGUGUGAAGAAGGCCUUCGGGUUGUAAAGCACUUUUGUCCGGAAAGAAAUCCUUGGCCCUAAUACGGUCGGGGGAUGACGGUACCGGAAGAAUAAGCACCGGCUAACUACGUG